rnacentral:rRNA from 1 species
GACGUAGGGCGCGAGCGUUGUCCGGAUUUAUUGGGCGUAAAGAGCUCGUAGGCGGCUUGUCGCGUCGGCUGUGAAAACCCGCGGCUCAACUGUGGGCGGGCAGCUGAUACGGGCAGGCUGGAGUUCGGUAGGGGAGACUGGAAUUCCUGGUGUAGCGGUGAAAUGCGCAGAUAUCAGGAGGAACACCGGUGGCGAAGGCAGCUGCCUGGCCUGACACUGACGCUGAGGUGCGAAGACGUGGGGAGCGAACGGG